UUGAGAAUCAUUUAAAAAAUAGUAACCUUAUAUUUUGUAAUAUUUACAAAUUAAGCUUAUUGAUGUGGCGCUUAAUUAGAACACAAUUUCGCUGAGGUGGCAUGAUCAGAAUCAAUUGGAAAAUUAGUUAGUCCAAUGUCAAUUUGCUAGGGAAAUUAUAUUAGACGUAAACUUUGUUAUAUGAUUAACAACUUAUAAACGAAGUCUAAAAAAUAUAAUAACAAAGAAACGUAAUACGUUUCUGAGAGGCCGUUGCGGCCGCGGAGAAGGAGUGGUGUGAAUCAGGGAGGCGAUGUGGUGGGCAGAGAGAAGGACAGUUGAAGAAAGAGAGCGGAGGAGCAGUUGGUGAAGGAGAUGGAGGUGACGAGACGGAAUUAAUUGGGAGCCGGCGUCGCAGGUUAUGACAGUGGUGGGGGUUUGGAGGAGGGACGGUGGUCGCAGGGGUUUUGACGGUAUUGAGAGGUUCGAGGGCUUUGACAUGUUGUGGCAUGUGGGUCUAAUGGAGGUGCGAGGAGUGGGAGAGGUGCGUAGAAAGGGAGAAAUGGUUGGAGAAGGAUUUGGGGAGAGGGAAGGAAUGGGAUUGCUAAUCACUUGGUCAUAAAUACACAUCUUCUCGGUCCAGUGCUGGGAUGUUUGAAAAUGACUACUAUAGACCAUCAGCAUUACUUGGAGACUGGUGAUAUACCAGGAGUUGCAGGGAUGAUAGAUUCCUUUUAAUAUGUGGACUGGAGGUGCAGUACGUGGGAGAUGAGCAACAAAUCUUCUAGAGCUUUUGAGAGGCCGUGUGGUUUUAGAAAUGGUCGGACCAUCGGAGGUCGUUUGCGGAAAGGCCACCACCUGCUUCAGAUACUAAUACUACUGUGAUGAACUCUUGGGAACCAGCUAGGAAUGUUAAAUGAAAGUAUUUAUAUAAUUAGUUACAUAAAAUUGAGUAAUUUCAUUUUAUUUCUAUAUAUUACAUUUUCAAGUAACAAA